ACACACAACACACGUACGCCGUGCAGAUACAAUCAGCUUAAUGCUUCGAAGGCCAAGGGCUAGCUAAGCUUCAAGUUCAUGAAAUUCAGGCAAUUAACUGCAUUCAACUAAUUUUUUAACUGAAACUAUAGGAGAACAGACAAAUUAUGGAACUGUCAGGAGAUAGUUAACGGUACAAAUUUUUAUUGAUAUAUGGCCAAAAUCAAAGAAGGGUGUUGGUAACCAACAUGUCAGAGGAGACCUCAAAACAGGAGCUGCUUAGGGUGGUGUGCACAACAUUUGGAGUGAAAGAAGAAGACAUUUUUCCUGCAGACAUGGCAAGACAAAUUCUACGAUUUUGCAGACAUGGAAGAGGACGAACUUGUGACAGGGCCAUUGAGAGUAAAAAUUACAAACUACCUGUGGUCCUCGGUGCACAGCAACUGGUGAAUGGUGGAGAGCACAUAGAGUGGAUGAGCACUGAAAAAAAGGCAGCCAGACUUCAAGAGAGUUGAGUUCUGCAUGCAGAAGACACUGGCAGACAGAAGGGCAUGGAUCAUAAAUUCUGUCCCUCGGCCAAGGAUCACUGAUGACCGACUGAAGUAUCCUUGGCUCUUUGAUGAGGAUCAGGUAAUCUAUGCAGAGUUUUCUCACCAGAUUUUGAAAUAUACUGAAUAUCCCGAGAUUGAUUGAAUGCUGACGGACGUUGAUAGAGUUGCUUACUCAAUGUUUCCCUAUUACAGUGAUUUACAGAAUGUAUUGGAAACUUCUAACUCCACAUGGAUUAUCCAAACUUGCUCAUAAACUUAAUUUAUUCAAGACUGCGUAAGGUGUGAACUUCAUAUGUGGUCCUUGUAUGUAAAAUUCAGGUUAUUUUCUUGUCAAAGCAAUAUCACCUAAACAGCUUGAGGUAUGGAUGUAAAAACUUGGUGUUUAACAUGUACCAUCAUUAGGAAGACGAUUUGAAUGGAUUUUGGAAUAUGUAGGUCAAAGGUCAAUUUGUGAAAUUUAUUUGUUUAAACACAUGGGCCCGUAUUCUGAUAGCAGGUUUAAUUUAACCCUAGUCUAAAGUUAACCCUAGUUUAAUUAAACCUCCUCUAAACCUCACCUCUGGUCCAGGUGUAGUUUAAUUAUUUUGGUAUUCUGAUAGCCGGGUUUAACUAAACCUGGGUUAAACCCGGGUUUAAAAUUCUUUUUGAAAAUAAUAACCCUCUUUUAACCAAGACUAGCACCUUUUUGGUAAAUUACUGCUGCAGGGGUGAUUGCAACAAAGUUGAAAAAAUGGCACUAAAGUCGUUUUUUCUUAAAAAAAUUGAUAUUAUGGAAACUAAUAACAACUAUUGUAGUGAAAGAAAAGCAUUCAUCACCCAUAUAUGGUAAGAAAUUUUCAUUUCAAUUAUAUUUAUUUUUGUUAAUUACUAAAACAUUUCAACCCCAAACCGAGUGACCUGCACAGUUUUUUGAGUAUCAGUCCCAUUUAUUUAUUUUCAUGUUUGUCAAAAUCUAAAUUGAAUAGAUUCCCCUCAACCACUCUAGACUAGAGUCUAGACCCUAGUCCUAGAUCUAAAACAAUAAGCUAAGAGGUCGACCUCUUUAUUCUAACUUUAAGUAAGGGAAUUUUUUUAUAACUUUUGAGAGUAGUCUUGGGUCUAAAUAGGCCUAUAGUUAGAUCUGGCCUAGGCCCAAUUGUUUGGAGGAGAAUUGAACAUAGUUUUUACUAACUAAGUUAGGCCUAGGCCUAUUUGAUUUUUUUUUACUUUCCUGAAGCAAAACAUAGUCUAGUGAGUUAGUGGAGCAACCAAGACUGAAGAUAAAUAUUGGUCUAGGCCUAGAACAGCAUUCAUGACUUAGGCUGGCUUAGCUUAGGGACAGGGAUAGAUUAUAGUACUAUUCUAAAGUAACCUUAGGCAUAGGCUAGAUCUAGUGGAAUGGAUCUGAUUUGUCUUAGACAAAAAGCUUUGAACAGUCUCUGUAUUGGUUGUUCCGCUGAAUUAUGACACUCUACGUUGGCCUCUCUCACCAAGGCAAUGUUAUAUGACAGUAAAAUGUCAGAAUUUUUAAAAUAAAUCCCCAGAAACAACGGUUAUUCCUGUCUACAGACAGUACAGUGUUAGAUCUGAUUAUCGCUGCAUUGCUUGCCAAGUAACUGGGCCUGGCUAAAUUUAGAAUUAGUCCAAGACAUCUCUCUACUCUUGUUGUAGGUCCAUAUCUGUUUCUUUGAAGAGUUUUUUAUUCAAACAUUUUUGGGGACUCGUUUAGGUUUCCAGAUCCAGGACUAGAAAACAGGCCCAAACCUAGACCAACAGCUCAGUCUUGACUAACCCAGGGAGCUCCCUGGGUUAAGUCUCGACUAGACUAGGCCUGGCCUAGAUUUAUGUAAGAAUUUAGAUCUAGGCCUAGGCCUAACGUUAGUCUGUGCUAUAUAUUCAUUCUAGAUUUCUAGCCUAGCCCUAACUGGCUGAUCUAGUCUACUGUAUGAUCUAGAAUAUCUAACGCUGGCCUAGAUCUAGACUAAAUAACUUAGACUAAAAGUUAAACCCUAUCUAGACCUAGAACUAGAUCUAUAUCAAUGUAAUACAUGUAAUAGGUCUAGAUCUAGAGAUUUGUAGACUCUCAACAUGCUCAAUGUAGAUUCUAAAUAAAUAAAAAAGUAAAUGUUGGCUAGUCUCGAGGCUAGUCUACAGUAGAUCUAAUCAUCUAACGUUAGGCCUUUAAAUAAAGUAGGCUGGAGAUCUAACGUUGGAUUAUUUCUAUUACUAGAUCUAAAGGAUCUAGACCUAGAUCUAAAGCUAGGGACUGUAGUGGGACUGUAGUUCGAGAUCUAAAGUUAGAGGUCUAGCAACCCCCUUAAAACUAGUACUAAGCCUACAGCUACAUGUUGUUCUCUGUGUAGCCAAACAACAGUUAGCAUUGUCUUAAUCUUAUUUUGGUUUGUGUAGUUACCGUACAAACACAUAUUUUGAUGAAUGAGAAAAUGUGCCUUGCAGAUUAUUUUACCUCAAGUCAAAACCUCGUGUUCUAAAUUUCAUGAGCAUACAUGUAGGCCUAUGUCAUAAAAUGAAGAAGCAGUUCAAUCCAUUAGAUGUGUUUACACAUUUAUUGAUUUAAUAUGCUGUCACCAUGGCAACACAGUUUCCAACACACACAAAUAUAUGUCUUGCAGAUCUAUACCUCAAAACCAAUGUGUGAGCCAACUUUUAUAAGAAUUAGUUGAAAACUAAUGAAGGAGUUCAGAUUUUCACCUAAUUUCAUUAUGUAAUAUGUUGUUACCAUGGCAACAUGAUUUCUCAUACAUACAAAAAUAUGUCUUGCACAUCUUCAACUUAAGACUAAUGUGUGUGCCAAAUUUUAUGAGCAUUGGCUGAAAAAAGAUGGGAGUUCGAACUACCAAAUUCUCACCUUAUUUUCUUUAUUUGAUAUGUUGUUACCAUGGCAACACGAUUUCUGAUACAGACAAAAAUAUAUCUUGGACAUCUUCACCUCAACAUUAAUGUAUGUGCCAAAUUUCAUGAGAAUUGGUUAAAAACUGAGGAAGUAGUUGGAACAGCAAGAUUUAUACAUAGUUUUUGCCAUAAUAUACCGUUACCAUGGCAACACAAUUUCCGACACAUGGAAAUAUGUGUCUUGCACAUCUUUACCUCAAAACCAAUGUGUGAGCCAACUUUCUUGAGAAUUGGUAGAAAACUGAUAAAAGUAUUUUAAACGGCAAAAUUUUUGCCAUAAUAUACUGUUUCCAUGGCAACACAAUUUCC